rnacentral:lncRNA from 1 species
CCUCAACUAAGGUAAACCCUAAAUCCUUCCCUUUUGUUUUAUAUUCCUCUUUUAAUUUAUAUUUUCUUGUUAAUCUCUGUUGUAGAGAAAGAUGAAAUCCUCCUUAAUAUUAUGAUGCCUAUUAAAUCCUAAAUCUGAUUUGUUGUCCUCAUAUUCAUCUUGUUAACUUAUGUUAUUCUUGUUAAGUUCUAUUUUGAAGGAGGAAACCCUUCUCUUGAGUUAUAACCAAAUAAUGGAUG